GCCGCUGCCCGGGUGCGCGCGGGUCCUGUGUGUGACAGUCAGGCAGAGGGGGAUAAUCCGGAUCAUGGCCUCCCCGGCCCGCAGCCACGGUGGCUCUCCCGGGCCCCGGUGCUCCCCUAGCACCCGGAUGAUCGCGGGCGACUGACUCCCGCGGUUCCCGCGGCUCAAGCUAGGGAAAGACGCAAAGCAAAAGAAAACAAGCCCGGGAAGAGGGAGGGCAGGGUGACUGAGCCCGGCGGGCACCUCAGACCUCCUUCUUCGGGACCGCCUCCCUCGCUCCCAGCCGUGCGGCCCGGGCCUGACACCCCGAACUUCAACACCCGGUCCCGCGCGGCCGCCAGCAACCGGGUGAUGUAUGAAGGAUUGGUACGAUUACCAUCUUGCAUACGACGAGAUUAAAGCCCUUCGAAAUCUAGUAGGAACCCUGGAUACAGAGAUCCGACAAUACUGAGGGUCUGCUCUGAAUGAAUCAGACCCCAUCACAAAAGCACAGCACUUGGAUAAAAAUGAGGAAUUGGGAGUGAGUAGAGAUGAUAUUUCGAGAUUGUCAAGUUUAGCAAAAUGUGUAAAAGUAAACAAGCAGUACCAAGACCUGAAGGUGAGUUGCAUAUUUAAAAUUCUUCCUUUUUAAUAAUCUAAGCUGUUAUUAGCAGUGGAUAAGAAAACACUAAUUUUAAAAAACUGUAUACGAUUUUUUUUACCCUGAUGCAUUUUUUACCUCUAAUGCAAUGUACAUAGUAUAAAUAAGUAAUGUAAUCAAGUUUAUCUCUGGAAGAAAAAGUUAAUAGUCUUACUGGAGAGUUGGAAAUAAAUGGUGCUCUUAUUGCAUUUAUUUCCAAUCACACACAUCAAACCUCCUCAAACUGGAACGAUGUAUCAACCGAACAUUUUGAAUUCCUCUGUGACCCUUCUUACUCUCCCAGCUGCCUUAGACCCCGAGAAGCAACUGGAAAGAGGAGCUGCACGGGACGGGUUCGAGAGCGGUCAGGAUUCUUUGGAGAAUGUGAUUAUGAAGACCGAGAAGUUUCAACAUCCACAGUCAGCAAGGUGGAGACUCAGGAGAGCUGAUGGGAGAGUUCCAGUCCAAGUCCAAGAGCUCUGAGAACCAGGAGAGCCAACGGUGAUCCCAGACAAGAUGCUGGUGCCCUGGCAGCCAGCUUGAGGAUGGAAACUACGUGCUAAGAAUGAUAAAGCAGACAGAGAAGAAGUCUUGAGUCCUGAUGUCUUUGUAGUGCUGUUCCACCAGCCCUGGACUGCUGAGUUCUGGCUGCCUUUUACAUGAAAGAACAGGACUUUGUGGUUUCAAAUCUCUUUUAUUUUGGUUUUCUAUUUUAUGCAGAACAUAAUCCUAGCUGAAACAGAUACAAAUUAACACUUACAAAAGAAUGGGAAGGGAAGUACUGUCUGAAAUAAAGGCAAAUAUUCUUUCAGUUAAAAAAAAGGGCAUUUUUCCUAAUAUCCAAGGCAUA